rnacentral:tRNA from 1 species
AUUUAUAUAGUUUAGUUCAUUAAAACUUUAUAUUUUCAUUAUAAAAAAAAUAUAUCUUAUUUAUAAAUU